rnacentral:rRNA from 1 species
GGGUUGUGAGGUUAAGCGACUAAGCGUACACGGUGGAUGCCCUGGCAGUCAGAGGCGAUGAAGGACGUGCUAAUCUGCGAAAAGCGUCGGUAAGGUGAUAUGAACCGUUAUAGCCGGCGAUGUCCGAAUGGGGAAACCCAGUGCAAUUCGUUGCACUAUCGUUAACUGAAUACAUAGGUUAACGAGGCGAACCGGGGGAACUGAAACAUCUAAGUACCCCGAGGAAAAGAAAUCAACCGAGAUUCCCCCAGUAGCGGCGAGCGAACGGGGAGCAGCCCAGAGUCUGAAUCAGCUUGUGUGUUAGUGGAACGGUCUGGAAAGUCCGACGGUACAGGGUGAUAGUCCCGUACACCAAAAUGCACAGGCUGUGAACUCGAAGAGUAGGGCGGGACACGUGGUAUCCUGUCUGAAUAUGGGGGGACCAUCCUCCAAGGCUAAAUACUCCUGACUGACCGAUAGUGAACCAGUACCGUGAGGGAAAGGCGAAAAGAACCCCGGCGAGGGGAGUGAAAAAGAACCUGAAACCGUGUACGUACAAGCAGUGGGAGCACCUUCGGGUGUGACUGCGUACCUUUUGUAUAAUGGGUCAGCGACUUAUAUUCUGUAGCAAGGUUAACCGUAUAGGGGAGCCGCAGGGAAACCGAGUCUUAACUGGGCGUUAAGUUGCAGGGUAUAGACCCGAAACCCGGUGAUCUAGCCAUGGGCAGGUUGAAGGUUGGGUAACACUAACUGGAGGACCGAACCGACUAAUGUUGAAAAAUUAGCGGAUGACUUGUGGCUGGGGGUGAAAGGCCAAUCAAACCGGGAGAUAGCUGGUUCUCCCCGAAAGCUAUUUAGGUAGCGCCUCGUGAACUCAUCUUCGGGGGUAGAGCACUGUUUCGGCUAGGGGGUCAUCCCGACUUACCAACCCGAUGCAAACUACGAAUACCGAAGAAUGUUAUCACGGGAGACACACGGCGGGUGCUAACGUCCGUCGUGAAGAGGGAAACAACCCAGACCGCCAGCUAAGGUCCCAAAGUCAUGGUUAAGUGGGAAACGAUGUGGGAAGGCACAGACAGCCAGGAUGUUGGCUUAGAAGCAGCCAUCAUUUAAAGAAAGCGUAAUAGCUCACUGGUCGAGUCGGCCUGCGCGGAAGAUGUAACGGGGCUAAACCAUGCACCGAAGCUGCGGCAGCGACACUAUGUGUUGUUGGGUAGGGGAGCGUUCUGUAAGCCUGCGAAGGUGUGCUGUGAGGCAUGCUGGAGGUAUCAGAAGUGCGAAUGCUGACAUAAGUAACGAUAAAGCGGGUGAAAAGCCCGCUCGCCGGAAGACCAAGGGUUCCUGUCCAACGUUAAUCGGGGCAGGGUGAGUCGACCCCUAAGGCGAGGCCGAAAGGCGUAGUCGAUGGGAAACAGGUUAAUAUUCCUGUACUUGGUGUUACUGCGAAGGGGGGACGGAGAAGGCUAUGUUAGCCGGGCGACGGUUGUCCCGGUUUAAGCAUGUAGGCUGGUUGUCCAGGCAAAUCCGGAUAAUCAAGGCUGAGGUGUGAUGACGAGGCACUACGGUGCUGAAGUAACAAAUGCCCUGCUUCCAGGAAAAGCCUCUAAGCAUCAGGUAACAUUAAAUCGUACCCCAAACCGACACAGGUGGUCAGGUAGAGAAUACCAAGGCGCUUGAGAGAACUCGGGUGAAGGAACUAGGCAAAAUGGUGCCGUAACUUCGGGAGAAGGCACGCUGGUGUGUAGGUGAAGUCCCUGCGGAUGGAGCUGAGACCAGUCGAAGAUACCAGCUGGCUGCAACUGUUUAUUAAAAACACAGCACUGUGCAAACACGAAAGUGGACGUAUACGGUGUGACGCCUGCCCGGUGCCGGAAGGUUAAUUGAUGGGGUUAUCCGUAAGGAGAAGCUCUUGAUCGAAGCCCCGGUAAACGGCGGCCGUAACUAUAACGGUCCUAAGGUAGCGAAAUUCCUUGUCGGGUAAGUUCCGACCUGCACGAAUGGCGUAAUGAUGGCCAGGCUGUCUCCACCCGAGACUCAGUGAAAUUGAACUCGCUGUGAAGAUGCAGUGUACCCGCGGCAAGACGGAAAGACCCCGUGAACCUUUACUAUAGCUUGACACUGAACAUUGAGCCUUGAUGUGUAGGAUAGGUGGGAGGCUUUGAAGCGUGGACGCCAGUCUGCGUGGAGCCAACCUUGAAAUACCACCCUUUAAUGUUUGAUGUUCUAACGUUGGCCCCUUACCGGGGUUGCGGACAGUGUCUGGUGGGUAGUUUGACUGGGGCGGUCUCCUCCUAAAGCGUAACGGAGGAGCACGAAGGUUAGCUAAUCCUGGUCGGACAUCAGGAGGUUAGUGCAAUGGCAUAAGCUAGCUUGACUGCGAGCGUGACGGCGCGAGCAGGUGCGAAAGCAGGUCAUAGUGAUCCGGUGGUUCUGAAUGGAAGGGCCAUCGCUCAACGGAUAAAAGGUACUCCGGGGAUAACAGGCUGAUACCGCCCAAGAGUUCAUAUCGACGGCGGUGUUUGGCACCUCGAUGUCGGCUCAUCACAUCCUGGGGCUGAAGUAGGUCCCAAGGGUAUGGCUGUUCGCCAUUUAAAGUGGUACGCGAGCUGGGUUUAGAACGUCGUGAGACAGUUCGGUCCCUAUCUGCCGUGGGCGCUGGAGAAUUGAGGGGGGCUGCUCCUAGUACGAGAGGACCGGAGUGGACGCAUCACUGGUGUUCGGGUUGUCAUGCCAAUGGCACUGCCCGGUAGCUAAAUGCGGAAGAGAUAAGUGCUGAAAGCAUCUAAGCACGAAACUUGCCCCGAGAUGAGUUCUCCCUGAGACUUUAAGUCUCCUGAAGGAACGUUGAAGACGACGACGUUGAUAGGCCGGGUGUGUAAGCGCAGCGAUGCGUUGAGCUAACCGGUACUAAUGAACCGUGAGGCUUAACCUUACAACGCCGAAG